rnacentral:piRNA from 1 species
UGCUACAACAAACUACCAGUAUGUCAGGGC